GAUGAACGCUGGCGGCGUGCCUAAUACAUGCAAGUCGAACGCUUCACAUAUGUGAAGAGUGGCGAACGGGUGAGUAAUACAUAAGUAACCUGGCCUUUACAGGGGGAUAACUGUUGGAAACGAUAGCUAAGACCGCAUAGGUGUGAUAACCGCAUGGAGAUGACAUGAAAUAUGCUACGGCAUAGGUAGAGGAUGGACUUAUGGCGCAUUAGCUAGUUGGAGGGGUAACGGCCCACCAAGGCGACGAUGCGUAGCCGACCUGAGAGGGUGACCGGCCACACUGGGACUGAGACACGGCCCAGACUCCUACGGGAGGCAGCAGUAGGGAAUUUUCGGCAAUGGGGGAAACCCUGACCGAGCAACGCCGCGUGAAGGAAGAAGUAAUUCGUUAUGUAAACUUCUGUCAUAGAGGAAGAACGGUGCGUGUAGGGAAUGACAUGCAAGUGACG
rnacentral:rRNA from 1 species